GUGUCAGCCGCCGCGGUAAUACGGAGGAUCCAAGCGUUAUCCGGAAUUAUUGGGUUUAAAGGGUCCGUAGGUGGCUUAAUAAGUUAGAGGUGAAAUACUGCAGCUCAACUGUAGAACUGCCUUUAAAACUGUUAGGCUUGAGUUAUUGUGAAGUAGUUAGAAUGUGUAGUGUAGCGGUGAAAUGCAUAGAUAUUACACAGAAUACCGAUUGCGAAGGCAGAUUACUAACAAUUAACUGACACUGAGGGACGAAAGCGUGGGUAGCGAACAGGAUUAGAUACCCCGGUAGUCCACGCCGUAAACGAUGGUCACUAGCUGUUCGAUGUACAUUGGUAUGUUGAGUGGCUAAGCGAAAGUGAUAAGUGACCCACCUGGGGAGUACGCUCGCAAGAGUGAA
rnacentral:rRNA from 1 species